UUUUUGGAGAGUUUGAUCCUGGCUCAGGAUGAACGCUGGCGGCGUGCCUAAUACAUGCAAGUCGAGCGGAUCUUUGGGAGCUUGCUCCCUAAGAUUAGCGGCGGACG
rnacentral:rRNA from 1 species